GUCCCUGUAGCUCAGUCGGAGAGAGCGGCUGCCUUCUAAGCAGCAAGUCGGGGGUUCGAAUCCCUCCAGGGACGCCA
rnacentral:tRNA from 1 species